rnacentral:rRNA from 1 species
UACGAGGGGGGCGAGCGUUGUUCGGAAUUAUUGGGCGUAAAGGGCGCGUAGGCGGUGCGGUAAGUCGGAUGUGAAAUCCCGGGGCUCAACCCCGUGACUGCACCCGAAACUGCCCGGCUAGAGGUAGGUAGGGGAGAUCGGAAUUCCUGGUGUAGCGGUGAAAUGCGCAGAUAUCAGGAGGAACACCGGUGGCGAAGGCGGAUCUCUGGGCCUUACCUGACGCUCAGGCGCGAAAGCUAGGGGAGCAAACAGG